rnacentral:tRNA from 1 species
GCAACGGUGGUUCAGUGGUAGAAUUCUUGCCUUAUAUUCGGGAGACAUGGGUUUGAUCCCCAGUCAAUGCA